GGUGGUGCAUGGCUGUCGUCAGCUCGUGUCGUGAGAUGUUGGGUUAAGUCCCGCAACGAGCGCAACCCUUAAGCUUAGUUGCCAGCAUUCAGUUGGGCACUCUAAGGUGACUGCCGGUGACAAACCGGAGGAAGGUGGGGAUGACGUCAAAUCAUCAUGCCCCUUAUGCCCUGGGCUACACACGUGCUACAAUGGACGGUACAAACGGUUGCCAACCCGCGAGGGGGAGCUAAUCCGAUAAAACCGUUCUCAGUUCGGAUUGUAGGCUGCAACUCGCCUACAUGAAGCCGGAAUCGCUAGUAAUCGUGGAUCAGCAUGCCACGGUGAAUACGUUCCCGGGUCUUGUACACAC
rnacentral:rRNA from 1 species